UAAAGACUAAUGAAGAUAAACUGAAGUCUAUAGCUACAAAUCAGCUAACUCAGCAGUGUGCAGAGCUAUGUCGAUCAGAAGACAUUAAAGUUCCAGAGCUAGAAGGAGACGUUGGGACACUCCAUAAAACCCAUAACAUUUAUCAAUCUACUUCUGCAGGUACAAGCAAAGGAGUUAACAGACCAAGAUACCAAAAUGC
rnacentral:lncRNA from 1 species